CUAAGGUCACAGAGCUCAUAAAAGCUGAGCUAGGCUUAAAUGUGGGCAGUCUGGCUCCAGAAUCACAGUUCCUGUCUCCACACUAUUUUGCCUCCCAUUACAGUGCUAGGUGACAUGCCAUUUCCUCUCCCCAACACUGUCUUCCUGGAUGAAUGGCAAGAUGGUGGUAGUGGUCAUGGAAGGUCAAUUGGGGAGGGCUCUUCUGCUCUCCAUUCCUGGCAUCUUCUGAAAUUGACAGGUGGUGGAUUGCCUCCUGGUGUUUACCUUGCUUCUCUCCUGACCUGUAGCUGAGAAAUUACAACUUGAGGACACAGUGCCAGCAAAAAAGCAGUGCCUGGAUAAAUUGCUUGAGAGAUUCCCUAAGGAGUGGGGUUGCCUUGGUCUAUUGGGGAAACAGCUAAUAUGGAGUGAUUCAUCCUGGCAGAGCCUCCCCCUGCCCACUUGUCCAGAGAAAAAGACUACAAAAUUGGGCUCUCAUUCCCGUAGUCAGACACAGGUCAGCUCAGGUAGCCAACAGACACAAGGAGUAUGAGCUCACAAGAAAUAACAAUGGGACAUCUGAGGAACAAAAGCACUAUAAAAUAAAGAUCCCAGCUGAGUGUAGUGGCACACGCCUGUAAUUCCAGCAGCUCAGGAAGCUGAGGCGGGAGGAUCACGAGUUCAAAGCCAGCUCAGCAAUGGCAAGUGAGCCCCUGUCUAAAUAAAAUACAAAAUAGGGCUGGGAAUGUGG
rnacentral:lncRNA from 1 species